CUAACUGCUAUGAGUAUGAGCUAUUGAGCUCACUCUUAAAGAAACGAGAUGUCUAUUGCAACCACAAUAAAGAUCAAUCGUUCAGUCAAAAACUUUCCCAAUCUACUUCCAGAGGCUUGACUUGGUUGCAGAAGGAUUCCAAAGCAAUUCAUCACUUGAGAUCAGGAAAGAUAGAUGAUUAUUAAUAGGUCAGCUCAAGUUUACACACGUUCAACAAAGAAAGAUUUAAAACUCACAAGAUUACCAAACAAAGAGUAAACAAGAUUCCUGUGUGAAAUUGAAUCCGGAGGGACGAGAGGGCCUGGAUCUCACGUUGGGCAAGAACACGUGAUGUGUUCUCCAGUUGCAUCAUGCAUGGCGCCAUAGACAAAAGAAGGUAAAUAUAAUAAAUCCAUCUCUUUUGUCCUUUGAAUUAAUAAUGUUCUUGAAUGUUAAAUAUAUAUGCCAAAAGUGAUAUAUCAAUUUUAAUGAGUUUUAGAUUUUAAGCAGCUACAUAUUAACUGUAUUUUUGUUUAAGAGAAGAAGGAUUCACCUGAAAAGGGGUAAUUUCUGUGGAAAGGAAUUUAUAUAUUAUAAAAGGAGUCAUUUUUGU